AGACCCCCCCCGACGACGGAGGGGCGUCGUCGUCGUCGUCGUCGUC
rnacentral:ribozyme from 1 species